GACAGAGGGUGCAAACGUUGUUCGGAAUUACUGGGCGUAAAGCGAGUGUAGGCGGUCUGAUAAGUCGGGUGUGAAAGCCCUGGGCUCAACCCAGGAAGUGCACUCGAAACUGCCAGGCUAGAGUAUCGGAGAGGUUGGUGGAAUUCUCGGUGUAGAGGUGAAAUUCGUAGAUAUCGAGAGGAACACCGGUGGCGAAGGCGGCCAACUGGACGAUUACUGACGCUGAGACCCGAAAGCGUGGGGAGCAAACAGG
rnacentral:rRNA from 1 species